UCUCGGGAAACUGAGGAUAAUACUCGAUAGAUCAUUAUGCCUGGAACGGUUUAUGGUUAAAAUGAUUCGUCGCCAUAGGAUGGGACUGCGGCCUAUCAGCUUGUUGGUGAGGUAAUGGCCCACCAAGGCGAUUACAGGUACGGGCUCUGAGAGGAGAAGCCCGGAGAUGGGUACUGAGACAAGGACCCAGGCCCUAUGGGGCGCAGCAGGCGAGAAAACUUUGCAAUGUGCGAAAGCACGACAAGGUUAGUCCGAGUGAUUUCUGCUAAAGAAAUCUUUUGCAAGUUAUAAAACCACUAGUGAAUAAGGGGUGGGCAAGUUCUGGUGUCAGCCGCCGCGGUAAAACCAGCACCUCAAGUGGUCAGGAUGAUUAUUGGGCCUAAAGCAUCCGUAGCCUGCUCUGUUAGUUUUCGGUUAAAUCCAUGUGCUCAACACAUGGGCUGCCGAAAAUACUGCAGAGCUAGGGAGUGGGAGAGGUAGACGGUACUCAGUAGGAAGGGGUAAAAUCCUUUGAUCUAUUGAUGACCACCUGUGGCGAAGGCGGUCUACCAGAACACGUUCGACGGUGAGGGAUGAAAGCUGGGGGAGCAAACCGGAUUAGAUACCCGGGUAGUCCCAGCUGUAAACCAUGCAAACUCAGUGAUGCAUUGGCUUGUGGCCAAUGCAGUGCUGCAGGGAAGCCGUUAAGUUUGCCGCCUGGGAAGUACGUACGCAAGUAUGAAACUUAAAGGAAUUGGCGGGGGAGCACCACAAGGGGUGAAGCCUGCGGUUCAAUUGGAG
rnacentral:rRNA from 1 species